GAUGAAGAACGUAGCGAAAUGCGAUAAGUAAUGUGAAUUGCAGAAUUCAGUGAAUCAUCGAAUCUUUGAACGCACCUUGCACCCUUUGGCUAUUCCGAAGGGUAUGCCUGUUUGAGUAUCAUGAACACCUCAACUCUCAUGGUUUGCCAUGAUGAGCUUGGACUUUGGGGGUCUUGCUGGCUUGUGGUCAGCUCCUCUCAAAUGGAUUAGCUUGCCAGUGUUUGGUGGCAUCACAGGUGUGAUAACUAUCUACGCUUGUGGUUUUCCACCAGGUAACCUUCAGCAAUGGGGGUUCGCUGGGGCUCAUAAAUGUCUCUCCUCAGUGAGGACAGCUCUUUGAACGUUUGAUCUCAAAUCAGGUAGGACUACCCGCUGAACUUAAGCAUAUCAAUAAGCGGAGGA
rnacentral:misc_RNA from 1 species